rnacentral:rRNA from 1 species
UGGAUGCCUUGGCAUCAAGAGGCGAUGAAGGACGUGAAAGACUGCGAUAAGUUAUAGGGAGGUGUCAAUAACCUUUGAUCUAUAAAUUUCCGAAUGGGGAAACCCAUCGCUAUACGCGAUAUCUGCAAUAGCAGAGGCGAACCUUGUGAACUGAAACAUCUAAGUAACAAGAGGAAAAGAAAUCAAUAGAUAUUCCGUUAGUAGUGGCGAGCGAAAGCGGGUUUGGCGAAUUUUCUAGAAGAAAUUAGAAUUGUCUGGAAAGGCAAACUGAAAAGGGUGAUAGUCCCGUAAAAGAUUUUCUAGUUAAUCAUAUUAAGUAGGGCGAGACACGUGAAAUCUUGUUCGAAUAUGGGGGGGCCAUCCUCCAAGCCUAAGUACUCCUUGAUGACCGAUAGUGAACUAGUACCGUGAGGGAAAGGUGAAAAGUACCCCGAACAGGGGAGUUAAAAGAACCUGAAACCGAAUGCUUACAAACAGUCGAAGCUAGCUUGACUAGUGACGGCGUACCUUUUGCAUAAUGAGUCAGCGAGUUUAUCUAUGAAGCGAGCUUAAGCUGUUAAGCGUAGGCGUAGCGAAAGCAAGUCUUAAUAGGGCGUGAGUUUUAUGGAUAAGACCCGAAACCGAGUGAUCUAGCUAUGAACAGGUUGAAGAGCCGUGAAAACGUCUUGGAGGACCGAACCAGUGAAUGUUGCAAUAUUCUUGGAUGAUUUGUGGCUAGGGGUGAAAGGCUAAUCAAACUCGGAAAUAGCUGGUUCUCCGCGAAAUCUAUUUAGGUAGAGCGUUGCAUGUUGCCCUUUGGGGGUAGAGCUCUGAAUAACCUAGGGGGGAGAGAUCCUUACCAAAGUUAAUCAAACUACGAAUACCAAAGCGUAUAAGUGCAGCUAGACAGACUAUUGGCGCUAAGGUCUAUAGUCGAGAGGGAAAGAGCCCAGACCACCAUCUAAGGUCCCAAAGUUAUUGCUAAGUGGAAAAGGAGGUGAGUAAACCAAGACAGUCAGGAGGUUGGCUUAGAAGCAGCCAUCCUUUAAAGAAAGCGUAAUAGCUCACUGAUCUAAUUUAAGUUUACUUGCGCCUAAAAUUUAACGGGGCUAAAGUAAUACACCGAAGAUGUGGGUAUUUCGUAAGAAAUACGGUAGCGGAGCGUUCUGUAAGUCGUUGAAGAAAAGUUGUGAGGCUUUUUGGAGAUAUCAGAAGUGAGAAAGCUGACAUGAGUAGCACUGAAGGCAAGUGAGAAACUUGCCCGCCGAAAAUUCAAGGGUUCCUGUUUCAAGGAUUGUCCGAACAGGGUAAGCCGGUCCCUAAGGCGAGGGCGAAAGCCGUAGUCGAUGGAAAUUAGGUUAAAAUUCCUAAGCCGUGUUGAAAUAAAAGUGACAGAUUAAAUGUAUUAUUACUUCUUAUUGGAUUGAAGUAAUGGUGUCUUUAAUUUCAGGAAAUAGCGAUCAACAAUGACCGUACCCUAAACCGACACAGGUGAAUUGGUAGAGUAUACCGAGGCGAAUGAGAGAAUGAUGUUGAAGGAACUCGGCAAAUUAACCCCGUAACUUAGGGAGAAGGGGUACUGCAGGAAUGCAGUGGCACAGAAAUGGGAGUAGCGACUGUUUAUCAAAAACACAGGACUCUGCAAAGAUGAAAGUUGAAGUAUAGAGUCUGACGCCUGCCCGGUGCUUGAAGGUUAAGAGGAGAGGUGAGAGCUUUGAAUUGAAGCCCAAGUAAACGGCGGCCGUAACUAUAACGGUCCUAAGGUAGCGAAAUUCCUUGUCGGGUAAGUUCCGACGCGCACGAAUGGCGUAACGACUGCUCCGCUGUCUCCAACAUCAACUCAGCGAAAUUGAAUUCCCCGUGAAAAUGCGGGGUACCCAUGGUUAGACGAAUAGACCCCAUGCACCUUAACUACAACUUUGCAGUGGUGUUUGGUAUAUUAUGUGUAGGAUAGGUGGGAGCAUUGGAAGUUUUGACGUUAGUUGG